GCCACUUGUGGCUUAGGGGAAGAGUAAUAGCUUUGCAAAUAGAAGGUCCCAGGUUCAAUCCCUGGCAUCUUCUGGUAGGGCU